UCCCUGGAGGACCAGUGGUUAGGCCUUGGCGCUCUCACUGCCGUGGCCCGGGUUUGAUUCCUGGCCAGGGAA
rnacentral:tRNA from 2 species